AAACUGCGAUAAGUAGUGUGAAUUGCAUUUAGUGAAUCAUCGAAUCUUUGAACGCACCCUGCACUCACUGGUAUUCCGGUGAGUACGCCUGUUUCAGUAUCAUUGAAAACACACAAUCAAAACAUUUUCUUUGGUUUGAUUGGCUUUGGGUCUAUCAAAAAGUUUGGCUUGUUUCUUACAAGCCAAGCGGCCUGAAAUAUAUUGUCUGGCUAAUUGCAUCGUUGAUGAUCGCUAUUAGACUUUGGAUUUUUUAAAUGAACUGGAGGUUGAUUAACCAGUUUUAGCUUUAGUCAAAUGGUCAUUGUAAAAAAAAUCUCGAUCUUGGCUAGGUGUUUAUAGCCGAAAAUUUUUUUUUGGCUAUAACCGAAACCAAUAUAAUCACAUUUAGUUAUCGAUCUGAAAUCAGGUGGGACUACCCGCUGAACUUAAGC
rnacentral:misc_RNA from 1 species